UAGUCCACGCUGUAAACGAUGAUCACUAGCUGUUGGCGAUAAAUUGUUCAGCGGCAAAGCGAAAGCAUUAAGUGAUCCACCUGGGGAGUACGAUCGCAAGAUUGAAACUCAAAGGAAUUGACGGGGGCCCGCACAAGCGGAGGAACAUGUGGUUUAAUUCGAUGAUACGCGAGGAACCUUACCUGGGCUUAAAUGCAGGACGACGUUUCGGGAAACCGAUUCUCCCUUCGGGGCGGACUGCAAGGUGCUGCAUGGUUGUCGUCAGCUCGUGCCGUGAGGUGUCGGGUUAAGUCCCAUAACGAGCGCAACCCCUAUCGUUAGUUGCCAGCGGAUCAUGCCGGGGACUCUAACGAAACUGCCGGUGUAAACCGAGAGGAAGGCGGGGAUGACGUCAAAUCAGCACGGCCCUUAUGUCCAGGGCUACACACGUGUUACAAUGGUCGAUACAGAGGGCAGCUACCAGGUGACUGGAUGCCAAUCUCGAAAGUCGGUCUUAGUUCGGAUCG
rnacentral:rRNA from 1 species